UACGGAGGGAGCUAGCGUUGUUCGGAAUUACUGGGCGUAAAGCGCGCGUAGGCGGCUCAGCAAGUCAGGGGUGAAAUCCCGGGGCUCAACCCCGGAACUGCCUUUGAAACUGCUAAGCUAGAAUCCUGGAGAGGCGAGUGGAAUUCCGAGUGUAGAGGUGAAAUUCGUAGAUAUUCGGAAGAACACCAGUGGCGAAGGCGACUCGCUGGACAGGUAUUGACGCUGAGGUGCGAAAGCGUGGGGAGCAAACAGGAUUAGAAACCCCUGUAGUCC
rnacentral:rRNA from 1 species